rnacentral:rRNA from 1 species
CUUAACACAUACAAGUCGAGCGAGAUCUUCGGGUCUAGCGGCGGACGGGUGAGUAACGCGUGGGAACGUGCCCUUUGCUACGGAAUAGUCCUGGGAAACUGGGGGUAAUACCGUAUACGCCCUUUUGGGGAAAGAUUUAUCGGCGAAGGAUCGGCCCGCGUUGGAUUAGGUAGUUGGUGGGGUAAUGGCCUACCAAGCCGACGAUCCAUAGCUGGUUUGAGAGGAUGAUCAGCCACACUGGGACUGAGACACGGCCCAGACUCCUACGGGAGGCAGCAGUGGGGAAUCUUAGACAAUGGGGGCAACCCUGAUCUAGCCAUGCCGCGUGAGUGAUGAAGGCCUUAGGGUUGUAAAGCUCUUUCAGCUGGGAAGAUAAUGACGGUACCAGCAGAAGAAGCCCCGGCUAACUCCGUGCCAGCAGCCGCGGUAAUACGGAGGGGGCUAGCGUUGUUCGGAAUUACUGGGCGUAAAGCGCACGUAGGCGGAUCAGAAAGUUGGGGGUGAAAUCCCNGGGGCUCAACCUCGGAACUGCCUUCAAAACUAUUGGUCUUGAGUUCGAGAGAGGUGAGUGGAAUUCCGAGUGUAGAGGUGAAAUUCGUAGACAUUCGGAGGACACCAGUGGCGAAGGCGGCUCACUGGCUCGAUACUGACGCUGAGGUGCGA